rnacentral:rRNA from 1 species
AUUCCAGCUCCAAUAGCGUAUAUUAAAGUUGUUGCAGUUAAAAAGCUCGUAGUUGGAUUUCUGUUCUCGAGGAUCGGUCCGCCUCACGGUGAGCACUGGUUUUUCUUGGGGACAUCCUCUCGAAGGCGGGUGGUGCACUUAAUUGUGUGCUGCUUGGAUUCGGGACCUUUACUUUGAAAAAAUUAGAGUGUUCAAAGCAGGCGUCGGCUUGAAUACAUUAGCAUGGAAUAAUGGAAUAGGACUUUGGUUCUAUUUUGUUGGUUUCUAGGACUGGUUUAAUGAUUGAUAGGGAUAGUUGGGGGUGCUAGUAUUCAGCGGCCAGAGGUGAAAUUCUUGGAUUCGCUGAAGACUAACUUAUGCGAAAGCAUUCACCAAGGAUGUCUUCAUUA